GCCGGUGUGGCUCAGUGGUAGAGCGUUGGCCCACACACCAAAGUGUCACAGGUUCAAUUCCCAGUCAAGGGCA
rfam:Myotis brandtii contig270797, whole genome shotgun sequence.